ACAGAGGGUGCAAACGUUGUUCGGAAUUACUGGGCGUAGAGCGCGUGUAGGCGGCUUGGCAAGUCGGGUGUGAAAGCCCCGGGCUCAACCUGGGAAGUGCACUCGAAACUGCUUAGCUUGAGUACUGGAGAGGGAAGCGGAAUUCUCGGUGUAGAGGUGAAAUUCGUAGAUAUCGAGAGGAACACCGGUGGCGAAGGCGGCUUCCUGGACAGCUACUGACGCUGAGACGCGAAAGCGCGGGGAGCAAACAGGA
rnacentral:rRNA from 1 species